GGAAAUCAAAGAUGAUUAAUUGAUUAAUGUUUUAAAGCAGAGAUGAUUUGCUAAACAGCAAGUAAAUACCAAAUUUCAUCGCAGGUUAAUGCAUUAAAAUAUAGGUGAAGCCGAAACAUUCCCCCGGCCGUGGCAGCAUUGACAUCGCGAUGGAAAUGAUUGACAAUAUAAUACAUGUGUCGAUCAACUCCGGAUUGUGUAAUUGCGUUUUCAUAAUUAAUUAUUUAAAAAUGUAAUGUGUUGAAUCUAACGAAUUAUUUUGUGAAGCGGCAAGAUGACAAUUACGUUUUUUUUUUUGAAAUUUUAAUAAUUGGUGUUGCUAUUACUGCUAUUGCUAGCACGCUGUUGUCAUUAAAUUUUGAAAGUGCAGAAUACGAAGCCGUUUUAAAAUGAUUUAUAUAAGGCUACUCGUUCCAGUGAUGCUUUCCAGUUAAAUGAGUUAAAGCAGGGAUUAGUAAUUGUGAUGACUGGUGAUAGGUAUGUGGAUAAAUGCUGAAAACAUGCUGGCAUGUGAGUGAACGCUACUGCUGCUGAUUUGUUGACUGCAUUUGAUGAUGUUCGUUAUGUUGAUAGUCGGUGGCUAUGCGAACAUAAAUUAGUGAACGAUGAGUCUUUGUAUAUGUGAAUGAUGCUGGGUUCCGUUGCAAUCGCCUUUGAACAUCGUUGGUAACUAAUAGUGUGUAAAUUGGUAACUUAAAGAUUUAGUAGUCGUUCCAAAAAGUUGAUCUUAUAUUGUUUCUGCAUUUAGGCCUUUCCUCAAGUCGCUUUGUAUUCUUUUAGGUUUUAUAUGAUGUCACUUGAAACGAUAAGAUAAAAAAAAGGAAGUGAAGGAAAAGAUGUUAUAGCGCCUUGACUCGCAAUCAAGGAAUGUAGGAUGUUGGACGGGUGAAGAAAAAGAAAAUAAUACAUAUUAGUAAUAGUUAUAAAAAACUAUUUAUAAGUUAGUAGUAUUCUAAGUUGAGGUUAGCGUAGCUAAGAAGACGUAGCACCAAUGUUGAGGUUAGUCUAGACUAAGUAGGCAUAACAUUUAAGUUCAGGUUAGUUAGCCUAUGUAGGUGUAAGAUCUAAGUUGAAGUUAGUUAGACUAAGUAGUUGUAGCAUCAAAGUUGAGGUUAGUUAGCUUAAGUAGGUUUAACAUCUUAGUCGAAGUUAGUUAGAUUAAGUAGUUGUAGCAUUCAAGUUGAGUUAGUUAGGCACGGUAACUACAAAACCUACUUUGCUCCGGUGGAAAUAUUAUACUUACCUUUGAAAUAGCUCCGGUUCACGAACCAUAAGUAACAAACAUAUUUUAGCGAUUAAUCGUUUCAGGAUUCCGCCCUUUGUUUUUACCUGCACUACCCGAAUUAAUCCGUCUGAACCAGGAUGUACCUCAAUAAUUCUUCCAAGUAGCCAUCUCGUUGGAGGUAGAUUCUCAUCUUUUAUCAAAACCAAAUCAUUUAUUUUAAUAUUUUCAAUUUUUCUAUUCCACUUUGGUCUUUGUUGGAGACGGUUCAAAUACUCCUUAUUCCAUCUGUGCCAAAAAAAUUUGAAGUAGGAAUUGCAAAUGUUGCCAUCGAUCCAUACGAUUAACUUUCAAAUCCAAUACUGAAGAAUCCGGUGGUGUGAUCAAAUUAUCACUAUUUAAAAAAUGUGCUGGUGUGAGUUCGGUUAAAUUAUUUGGAUGACUACUUAUUUCGCAUAAUGGUCUCGAGUUGAGGCAUGCUUCAAUCUGUGAUAUUAAUGUUGAGAAUUCCUCAUAAGUUAAUAUACUGUUGCCAACAGUUUUUUUAAGUGCAGUUUUGUUCAACGCACACCUGCCUCCCAUAAACCACCAAAACGUAGGGACCCAGGGGGGAUAAAAUUAAAUAUAACACCUGAUUCAAAAGCGCCAGUAAUAUCUAUGUUGAGUUGAUUCAGCAUUAGAUGAUGAUUUUUUAAAAUGAUUUUGUUGGCCGCAACAAAAUCAUUUUAAAAAAUCGGUACGCUACGAUGAACCCAUCUGCUUUCAAAUCGGUGACUAUUUCUAGAUGAAUAGCCUUGAUUACCAUACAUACGAAUAAAGCUAGGUAUGACUUAUAUUUUUUUGGACUUUUUCCUUUGUGUGUUUUCAUUUCGAAUGGACCACAAUAAUCCAAACCCGUGUGACUAAAUGGACGACUUUUUCUUACACGCGGUAUUGGUAGACUUGCCAUAAGUUGUUUUUGAGCGGGUGCCUCCCACCUAUAACAAGUUAUACACUUAUAUAUGUCAUGUCGUAUGGUGUUUCUUGCAUUUAAGAGCCAGUAGAUGCUAUUUAAGUAAUUUAACAUGAGUUGAGUACCCCCGUGCAAUGUUUCCUUAUGAAUUUUAUCAAUUAGUAGACAUGUAAAUCUAUUUCCAGGUAAAACAAUAGGAUGCCUCUGGUUAUAUGGUGAAAUUGCAUUAUGUAAACGACCAUCCACUCUAAUUAUAUCGUUGGUAUCGACA